CUCACCAGAAGCGACUGGCGCACACACAGAUCGGAAUAGCCAGAAGCGUGCUUGGAUUUUUCCGGAGCGCUUUUUGUGUUUGCUUCCAGUGAAACCAAAUACGUUUCACCUUGAUUUAAAUGAACCUUUGACUACAUUUAAGCUCCCCUAAAACCUCAGCCCUGUGCAUGGAGCUGAUGAAGAGUGAAAUAGACUGUGUUGACAAUUAGGAACCGUGUUUUGGAGGAAAGAAGUUGUCCCACUGCAUUUCCUACUGAGAUACUAUCUGACAUCUCUGUUAAAUGGGGAU
rnacentral:lncRNA from 1 species